CGCGUGAGGGAUGAAGGCCCUUGGGUUGUAAACCUCUUUUCUCAGGGAAGAAAACUGACGGUACCUGAGGAAUCAGCCUCGGCUAACUCCGUGCCAGCAGCCGCGGUAAUACGGAGGAGGCAAGCGUUAUCCGGAAUUAUUGGGCGUAAAGCGUCCGCAGGUGGCGAAUCAAGUCUGCUGUCAAAGGUCGGGGCUUAACUCCGGAAAGGCAGUGGAAACUGAAUCGCUAGAGUGCGGUAGGGGUAGAGGGAAUUCCCGGUGUAGCGGUGAAAUGCGUAAAGAUCGGGAAAAACAUCGGUGGCGAAAGCGCUCUACUGGGCCGCAACUGACACUCAGGGACGAAAGCUAGGGGAGCGAAUGGGAUUAGAUACCCCAGUAGUCA
rnacentral:rRNA from 1 species